AAAUCAAAAAAAUCCGGAUUCUUCUUCCACAGAAGUUUCAUUUGUCAGUGUGGGACUGCUGAGUCACCUGAAGAACUCAUUUCAUUCUCCAUGAUGUUCAUUUACAGAAAUGUUUCACAGGAACUGAUUCCUCCCAAAGGGUACAGUACGUGAUAUUAAGGGCAGGCGGUCAUCACUGGGGGAAGACAAGAAGCAGACGUACUUCCAAGAGGGAGCUGCAGUGAGGACACAGCCUGGUCACUGAGGUCAGAGGAGGCGCUGAAAGGUUUCCCUAAUAGUUCCUGGUGAAUCAAAGCAGAACCAUAAAGGUUGCUGGACUGCAUGAUGGCCUUACCCCUGAGCAGUCAUCCUGUUAAAGGAGGAACCAGUUAGAAGCUGUUUUCAAAGUAGCUGAGCAGAUUUCAUCUCAACAGACAAAGCUGAUGGCAGAAGAUGUUUGGAGAAGAACUUCAGGCCGUGGACUGAAAAGUAGAUCAAAGCAGCUCGUGCUCUGUCUGCUUCCAUUCUGAUGGCAAGAAGAAGAAGAAGGAGAAGAAGACUUCAGCGAAGUGGCGUUCAUGGUCUCAGUGGACAGUCAUGGUCACACACUGCAUGUGGUUUUAAAAGCAACAUGUCUGUUCACCACAACAAUGGAGAUGUGUAAUAUUAGAGCAGCUACGGUUUGUUCUUGAACAUCAGUUUUGUUUUCUACUUUGACCACUUAGACCAAAAAAAGUGUUGUUUUCAGAUUCUUUCUUUUUAAAUCUAUAAAGCACCUGUUCAUUUUUUAUUACAAUUAGUUUCACAUAAAUGUUAGUGUUUCCUUUAUGGUCUUUUAAUGCUUACACUAGACUGUACACGUCUACAUUAGAGACAUUUCUGUUACCUAUUUAUGAGACUGGGCUGCUUGACUACGAUUUGGAAAUGGAUGCAAAAUCACACGGAUCGUGCUAUUGUUUGUUUUUUAAUAUGAUGGACUGAACACAGGAGGUAUCUGACUAAGCAAAGAUUAGUCCGAUCCCAUUUCUACCUGUCUCUACUGUUUCAACAUUUCACUGAAGUUUGCUCAUCUGUAACUGUCAGGAUAUAUAUUUAUUCCAGCUCUCAUAGGACAAAGGAAUGACUCAGACUUGUCAAAUGUUCUUUGACUUGAUACACAAUAUGAAGUUCACAAUUUUCUUACAAAUAAAACUAUAAUGACAAACAUGAA